rnacentral:rRNA from 1 species
GAUUAACGCUGGCGGCGUGCAUAACACAUGCAAGUCGAACGAUGAAACUUUAAUGAACCCUUCGGGGAGAAUUAAAGCGGAUUAGUGGCGAACGGGUGAGUAACGCUUGAGUAACCUGCCUUACACAAGGGGAUAGCCUUUGGAAACGAAGAAUAAUACCCUAUAAAACCAUCAAAGCACAUGCAAUUAUGGUCAAAGUGAUAGCGGUGUAAGAUGGACUUGCGUCUGAUUAGCUAGUUGGUGAGAUAAAAGCCCACCAAGGCAACGAUCAGUAGCCGGCUUGGGGGAGUGUACGGCCACAUUGGGACUGGGACACGGCCCAGACUCCUACGGGAGGCAGCAGUGGGGAAUUUUGCACAAUGGGGGAAACCCUGAUGCAGCGACGCCGCGUGAUUUAGAAGGCCUUCGGGUUGUAAAAAUCUUUUGUAUAGGAAGAAAAUGACAGUACUAUACGAAUAAGGUCCGGCUAAUUACGUG